rnacentral:rRNA from 1 species
UACAGAGGGGGCAAGCGUUAUUCGGAAUUAUUGGGCGUAAAGGGCGCGUAGGCGGCCUGGCAAGUGGAAGGUGAAAUCCCUCGGCUUAACCGAGGAACUGCCCUCCAAACUGCUUGGCUUGAGUCCGGGAGAGGUGAGUGGAAUUCCCAGUGUAGCGGUGAAAUGCGUAGAUAUUAGGAAGAACACCAGUGGCGAAGGCGGCUCACUGGUCCGGUACUGACGCUGAGGUGCGAAAGCGUGGGGAGCAAACAGG